CCUCCGAUCCUGUGAAGAGAAGAUACAAGGGAAGGUCUUUGACCUGGAAGACAGCCCUCCCCUGACUAUGCCGGCACCCUGAUACCAGACUUGCAGCUUCCAGAGCUCUUACUGCCUUGGCCCUUAUGGGGCAGCCCUUCCUGACUCUGGACAUCGACAGCCUCACCUCACAAAGUGUGGUCCACGAACCAGUGACAUGGAACAUCAAGUGAGCACUUGUUAGAGCUGAAGACUCUUAGGCCCCACCCCAGACUCAAUGAAUCCGCAAAUUUAAUUUAAUUUGUUUUUAUUUCUUUUCUCUUUUUAAAUUGGAAUAAAGUUGAUAUACAAUA